rnacentral:lncRNA from 1 species
AGAUAAUGAGUGGGCAGGACAUGCCGAGAGAUGAAUUUGUAUUGGUCUACCAUAUAGCAUGCAUCAGUCUAUUGGAGCUGGUCAGUAUGUUUAGGUAAUCAUGUCGAAUGAGGCUUUAAAAAAAAAACAUGUAUUGCUUAGUUAAACUGAAUAAACCAAAUGUCAAGUUAAAGUGUACUGUUAGCUAGAUAACAUUAGCUGGCUGGCUCGCUAGCUAACGUUAUGUGUAUGCUCUCCACUUUCUGGAGGACCGAGUUUUGAAAUCAGUAGAAUUCGAGUAUGAUAGCUAAGGAGACGGAGAAAACACCAGUCUGGAUUACAUCGUCAAACAAGGCAACCAUGCAUGGCAUCAGACAGGAGACGCUUCCAACCAUGAUGUAUACUGUCUAUCUUUCUGUCUAUCUGUCUCUCUGAUUUCUUAGCUCCACACAUCGUAACAGAAAUGAAAAAAGAGAUCCUCUGUGAGUGUUGUUACCUGUUUCUCGGCUGAGCCCGCGUUCCCAGGGUCCUGUUAUCCAUCCGCCCGCUCCAGACGCCACCACCCUGUACAGGUACUCUACACAGGGACACACGCACGCACACAAACACACACACACACACAAAGCACAUAUUUGCAUGUCUAUUUUCAAGGUUACACACAGAAACAGGGGACCUAAGAACAGACAGUGAGGCUAUGCAACAGCAGGCAGAAACACAGACGCCUAUAUGUGUGACAAUAGCUGAAUCUCCACUGUAUAUUCUGUUCCAGCGGACAAAGGCAGGACAGCAGAAACACAGACAGACACACGGACAGACAGACAGAGAGGUGGACAAAGGCAGGACAGCAGAAACACAGACAGACACACGGACAGACAGACAGUGAGAUGGACAAAGGCAGACAGACGGAGAGAUGGACAAAGGCAGACAGACGGAGAGAUGGACAAAGGCAGACAGACUGAGAGAUGGACAAAGGCAGACAGACGGAGAGAUGGACAAAGGCAGACAGAUGGAGAGAUGGACAAAGGCAGACAGACAGAGAGACAGGGAUAGCUAGGCCUAUAGAAAAUGAUCUGUCUACAGUUGCGGUCAAAUAUAUUGGCACCCUUGCACGAGUCCCUAUUUCUUCUAAAAUAAGUUGAAAUUUAAAAAAACAUUUGAAUGUUCAUGUGUUUUUGAAAUGGACAUUUUCCACACCAAAAAAUUGCCUUGACUAAAUGACUCAGAAUUCAAGCUAAUUUGGUUGGAGACAAGUGAUUCUCGUUUACUGUGUAAUAUAUCUCACCUGUGGUAAGUUGCAAGUGCCUGCAGGUAAAAAUAAUCAUUCAAACAGUUUCGAAAAGAGAAAACAGAACAUUCCAUUGCAAAGUGCAAGGGUGCCAAUAUAUUUGACCGCAACUAUAUAUUUACACAGAGCCAGUAAGCACAUUAGACAAGCUGCUUGCUGAGUCUCUGUCCACUUCUAGAAUAAUGCUGAUAGUGAGAACAUACUGUAUGCUAUGGAUAUGACUGUGACCUCUGCUCUGUCUGUCUCCACGGGGUCACUGGACUGUCUGGGUUAGGGUGUGUGAGUUUGUGCAUGUGUGUGUGUGUUAGUGUGUGUGUCAUUGUGUGUUAGUGUGUGUGCGUGUGUGUUAGUGUGUGUGUGUGUGUGUGUGUGUGUGUGUGUGUGUGUGUGUGUGUGUGUGUGUGUGUGUGUGUGUGUGUGUGUCUGUCAGUGUGUGGACUACCUGUAAAGGGCUGUACUCCCAGGUCUCUGGCCCAUGUAUAGCAGUACAGAGUCGUUGCCAUGGCAAUAGUAGACGCUAUCGGUUGCCGGGCAGCCAUCAAGAUUGACCAUAAUGGAGCGGCGGGCAGACUAACGUCAGACACAUCCGGUACACCACCGGGACCACUCUGAACGGUUACACCCCUCACACACCCUUCAAGACCUGCCCAGGAGAGGAGAGAUGGUGUCGCCCAUCUUCCCCAUUAUCCCCUGUGUAUUUAUACCUGUGUUUUCUGUUUGUCUUUUGCCAGUUUGUCUUGUUUGUCAAGCCUACCAGCGUUCGUCCUGUCAGCUCCUGUCUUUUUCCCUGCCUCUCUUUUUCUCGUCCUCCUGGUUUUUGACCCUUGCCUGUCCUGACCUUGUACCCGCCCGCCUGACCACUCUGCCCGUCCCUGAGCCUGCCUGCCGUCCGGUACCUUUGCCCCACCUCUGGAUUAUUGACCUCUGCCUACCCUGACCCUGAGCCUGCCUGGCGUCCGGUACCUUUGCUCCACCUUCGGAUUACUGAACUCUGCCUGUCCGUGACCCUGAGCCUGCCUGCCGUCCUGUACCUUUGCUCCACCUCUGGGUUACUGAACUCUGCCUACCCUGACCCUGAGCCUGCCUGUAGUCUGGUACCUUUUCUCCACCUCUGGAUUACUGAACUCUGCCUGUCCCUGUCAGUGACCCUGCCUGCCUUGACCUGUCAUUGCC